rnacentral:rRNA from 1 species
UAUCCUGGCUCAGGAUGAACGCUGGCGGCGUGCUUAACACAUGCAAGUCGAGCGAAGCACUUGUCUUGAAGUUUUCGGAUGGAGAGACAUUUGACUGAGCGGCGGACGGGUGAGUAACGCGUGGGGAACCUGCCUCAUACAGGGGAAUAACAGUUAGAAAUGACUGCUAAUGCCGCAUAAGCGCACACUGUGGCAUCACAGGGUGUGAAAAACUCCGGUGGUAUGAGAUGGCCCCGCGUCUGAUUAGGCAGUUGGCGGGGUAACGGCCCACCAAACCGACGAUCAGUAGCCGACCUGAGAGGGUGACCGGCCACAUUGGGACUGAGACACGGCCCAAACUCCUAUGGGAGGCAGCAGUGGGGAAUAUUGCACAAUGGGGGAAACCCUGAUGCAGCGACGCCGCGUGGGUGACGAAGUAUUUCGGUAUGUAAAGCCCUAUCAGCAGGGAAGAAGAUGACAGUACCUGACCAAGAAGCCCCGGCUAACUACGUG